rnacentral:tRNA from 1 species
UCCCUGAUGGCCCAGUGGCUAAGGCUUUGUGCUUUCAACGCAGGGGGCAUGGGUUUGAUUCCUGGCUGGGGAA